rnacentral:lncRNA from 1 species
UACAAAGCAUGGCAAAAUGAGGAAACCACUGACAGGUGAAGAAUUUGCACAAUGGAAAACCACCUUGACCAUCUCAUGACUUUAUACAGGAAUCGGAGACAUCCAAGGCCAUUCCAUUUCUAAAUCACACUUAUCCCUCAAUCAAGUCAGUGACUGGAUCAUCUCCUAAGGUUUCACCUGCUUUGCAUCAGUGAGUUGGACUAUGGAUCAGGUACUGUGCUCAGCAUCAGAAAAUGGGAUGACAAUGAACAGAGUAACAGGACUAUAUUUCUGAAAAAGGAUGAACUUACUGGAAACAGGAUUGCGUGCCUGAAAUAUAUCCAAAUGGAUAUAAAUGUCAACUCAGUUCUGGGCUGGAGAUAUAGAUUUGGAAUGCACCAACAAUGCAGAUGGUAAUCCUGGCAUGCGAGUAGGUGAGAUCAUCCAGGGAGAUGGCCUAUAAUGAGAGCCUACAACAUGUCAGAUUCUGUUCACUCUCUGCUAUCAGUUGCUGUGUCCUUAAGGAAUGCAGACAAUGUUAAUUCAAGCAAAACAAUAGAAA